GGUGAACGCUGGCGGCGUGCCUAACACAUGCAAGUCGAUCGGAGCAGCAAUGCUUAGAGGCGAACGGGUGAGGAAAACGUAGUAACCAACCCUUUAGACGUGGGAUAGCCACUGGAAACGGUGGGUAAUACCGGAUAAGCUCGAGAGAGGAAAGGCAGAGAAGCGCUAAGGACGACUGCGCCCAUCAGAUAGUUGGUGAGGUAAAGGCUUACCAAGUCAAAGACGGGAAACCGACGUGAGAGCGUGUACGGUCACAAGGGCACUGAGAGACGGGCCCUACUCCGUACGGGAGGCAGCAGGUGGGGAAUAUUGGACAAUGGACGAAAGUCUGAUCCAGCGACGCCGCGUGGAGGAAGAAGUCCUUCGGGAUGUAAACUCAUGAAGCUAACGAAUAAGACGGAAGGGGAACCUUCCGGGAGAAGGUAAUUAGUGAAAAGCCCCGGCUAACUACGUG
rnacentral:rRNA from 1 species